UAGGCUAGAUACAGAGUUUGUUAGUUAGACCAUCACCUUGUAUACAUAUAUAUACAAUUGAGUGAGCCAAUUCAAUUUGGACUCUUUCACAAUCAAUAACAACCAAGUUCACUCUCUCACUAUUCACAUUGUUCAACAGUUAUGGUCCCAACAAAUACCUUCUAUCUACAUUGAUUGCCUGCCAUUCAAGCUAAAACAGAUUCAAUAUACUUUGGCAAACAAGGUAUUAUAUCCCUUUUAUUCGUACUUCAUCGAAUGGUGUUAUUUGACAUGUCAUUCAUCCUCUAUAUAUGUUGCACAGGGGCAAGUAUACUUGUCUACAUAUUUUACAUUUUACUCAUAACCAUUUUAGCCUGUCUAUACCUUCAUUUGAAAAGUAAACAUCCUCAUUACAAUACUCAAAGGUACGUUAUUUCAUACCUUGUUAGUCAUACAUGAUGUAUGACUAAUUUCUUGCUCUCAAGAAGGUGGGAUUUUUUGGAUUGGUAUCAUGGAAAAAGCCGUUGCUUGUGAAUGGUUCCCUUGAAAUCAUUUCUCUAACAGAACUCUCUCUGAUUUUUAUGUUUCUUUUAUAUGACUAGUUUCUACCAGUGACCCUACUGGCAACUAAUGAGGCCAAGUGUAAGAAAAGAACUUCCCACUCUUCAUCAAAUAUUGUUUGUUACAUUUCUCUUCUUCUAAGUUGGAACAUAUAUAGUGUCUUCGCUUUUGCAGUUCAUUGGCCUAACUUUAGAGGGAAGUAUCAAGUACCACAUCUAGCUAGGACCACCGCAAUGGUCCUCUUCACAGCCCAUGGACUUUGCUACAUUAUCUUUUGGGACAACACUAAUCAAAUCUAAGAGAUGCUCAUGUGGAAUAAAGUUGGCGUCUCAAAUGUGGCUGGAGAAGUAGCUUUGCUAGCAGGAUUAGCCAUGUGGGCCACUAACUUACCUUUGAUAAGGCAAAAACUUUAUGCAACUUUUCUUCUACACUCAUCAACUGUACAUAGUUUUUGUAGUCUUUUAUGUACUACACGUAGGAUUUUUUUCUUCCUGUGUGUUUCUUGCAGGAUUUUACUUAUUCUUGAUGGAUCGCUACCUAAGAUUCCUACAGUCCCAGCAAAAAAUUUAGCUGGUUUCUGCUCGCAUCGCAUCUUGUGAAACUAUUGAACUGAAUUUCUCCAAGAAUCCAGAUGAAUGACAAGUUCUAUAUCUGAAUUUUGUCUCCAUUUCAAGCAACAUAGUAUUUAUUUCAAUUUCCUCUCAUGUUGCUGCAAUAGGAUUGUGCUAUACUCCUACAAGUGUCAUUUACAUAAAUGUUGUUAAUAUUUCCAAGUUGAAAUGGCAUCCUUUUUCCAACACCUCUUGCUGCGACACUGAACAUGAUACCCUAAGCAUUCUCAUCAAAAGUUCAGGAAACUGGUCUCAUUCUUUGUAUCAGAAGCUAUCAUGUUCAUCUCCACCGUCCCACCUUAACAUCUUUGUCGAAGGGUCAUAUGGACGGGACUCAUCAACCUUUCUCAAGGUAUGGUAACUAGUUAAAGGAGCCUCCACAGUUUACAACUCAUGGAUUGACAUAUAUAAUGUUUGAUGCAAGUAUGAAAUGGUAGUGAUGGUGAGUGGAGAAAGUGGAAUUGCACCUUUCAUCUCCAUAAUUCGAUGGCUACUCUUUAAGGCCAAUACCGAAGGGGGCAAAGCUCCAUGAGUUCUUGUAUGCGCCUUCAAGAAGUGCGUUGAUCUCACCAUGGUAGACCUCCUCAUGAGUGUUUCAGGCACAGCCUUUGACAUCUCGCGCUUGCAGCUUCAAAUUGAAGCC